CAACUAUGCUAAUAUUUACAUGAACAGUGACACUGCCAGGUGCGCACAGCCCAGGAGGUUCCUGCAGUGCAUGGAAGAUAACAUUCUGAUGCAGGCCAUGGAGGAGCCAAUGAGGAGAGGUGUGUUGCUGGACCUUGUUCUUACAAACAAGGAAGGACUAGUUGGGGAUGUGAAAGCCGGGAGCAGCCUUGGAUGCAGUGACCAUGAGAUAGUGGAGUUCAGGAACAUGGAAAAAACAAGGUAAUAAGUAGGACUGGAACCCUGGACUUCAGGAGAGCCAAUUUUGACUUCUUCAGUGACCUUCUUGGAGGUAUUCCAUGGAUUAGAACACUGGAAGUGUAAAAUGGGUCUGAGGAAUGGGGCGAGGAUUAAAUAAAGGAAAAGGAUGACAGGUGGUCUAAAUCCUGCCCUGAGUUCUCCUCUUCAAAGGAAGGACAUGAGCUGGACGUCACAACCCAUGGACACCUGGGAAGGAUAUGUACCAUCUAGGAAUCGUUCUUGUGGAAAGGGCAAGACAAGAUGCUCUUCUAAGACAACGCGACUAAUACCACCUGGGAUUUCGGGGAGCUCCUGCAGGGGCCCAUCGUGGCUGCCGUCUGCCCAUUCUGAUGGACUCUGUGAGGAUCCAUAUCAGGCUGUGCUGGAGAAGAAAGCCUCCAGCAACUGCCAUGGCACUGGCAAGGCAGGGGCUGUGCUCUCAAUGUGCCUUCUCCAGAUGCUGGGCAUAUGGUCUUGUCCUGAGAGCUCCAAGAUAAUUUGGCUUAGCUCGCUCAGUGAAGGAUGCAGCUGGAGCAGAGAGUGUGGAGAGAGACUUACUGCACUUCCAGAUAACAGCCUUGCUGAGCUUGAUUGAUGGAUGCUGUUUAAUCUGCCAGACAGGCUGAAACUUAAGAAAUGGAGCAGAAACACGCAGCUUGGGCAAACCAUUUGUGUAUAGCAAGGACAUGCACAGUGUCAUUUUAGGCAGCGUUUGUGCUAGGAAGCCACUGUGCACAGACUUCCUCACCAGCACAGCUGGGCACAGAAGAGCUUUGGUCUGUGUGGCAGAGCAUUGUACGUGCUUUGGCCACCUUUGUCUAAGGAUGAGAUUUCUUUCCUCUUCCAAGCCUUUCCCUUUGCAAUUAUAUUACUGCAGCACAAGGCCAUGUACCUAGUCAUAAAAGCAAAUGUUUUUCAGUCGUGCCCCUGAAGUCUUCAGCAAGACCUUCUCAGAAGAUACGCAGAGGAUGGUUGAGUACAAGAGAAGUGUCCAAUAUUAAUUGCUGAGAUGAACUCAGAAGAUGUGGGCUCUGCUCCCUCAGGCUCUUGCUGACUGGUUGCAUGGUGCUGAGCACCUUCCUGGUCAAACCAGUGCCCUCCACACCUGCCUUGGACAUGCACUGCACGCAGUGUUCUCAGUGGAAAUGAUUGUAACAGAAAUAAUCUCUUCCAGGUAGGGUGAUUUACCCCAUGUAAUAAACUGGCUGCAGCUGGAGCACCUUAUUGCUAUUAAAAUCUUCAUCUUCACUUGGCUGUAGCUGUAGAGGCAAACUACACUAUGAUGUAAACAAGACUGGAGCUUGUACAACCUUUAAGACCAAGUGUAGCUAUUCCACUGCAGCUUGCCACUGCAUUGAGCCUGACAGCCUGAUCUGAAAGAACAGUUUUGGGACUUAGCAUAUAAAGAAAAAAAUUGUAGAGGACACAGUUCAAAUGACAACAACAACAACCAAACCUGAAGAAUUCAACACAUUUUUUUUUUACUGAAAGGAGUAUGGAGUUGGUAUAAGACUACUGCAUGUGUGAUAUACUCACCAAGUGUAUUCCAAUUUAACAGAGAGCAGUUAGAUUUGUUUUUCCUCUUAGAGGUGUUAAUAGACUCAAAUGUGGAAGAGGAGACAAACACAAGUUUGGCAAGUUCAGGUGAUGGUAAAUGAAGCAGGUUACGCUAAAGACAACCUCUUCUGUGCUGUUCAACUUUUCUUACACAGCACAGAGUGCACCUGGGUAUUGAGUACAAAACAAUGUAAACGAGCCCUUGCAAACUGUCUGUGCACAAGCUGGGAUAAAUCUCUUACAAGCAGAGGAAAAUACACCAAUGAUUUUGCCUCUGGAUAGAGAUUGCUAGCAGUUUUUGAGAUUUCCCCAGAUUCAGUCCCUGGUGAGAACACAGGUAUGAACAGUGUGUAUAAACAAAAUUUAAAGGUUUCCAUUAAAAGAAGAAACAUAGACUUGACAAAUACCCUAACACACGUGCCAAGGCAUAUAAAAUGCAUCUGAUGCAACAAAUGUUUCAUACCUUCUUCCUAUUUUCUAGAGUCAAUUUAUUUUCAAAUCCUUGCUUUAUACAUGCAGUGGAUGAAUUAAUGACUCUUGCUAUUUGAUGUAAAUUCUUGCCAUAGUUCGCUUCACAAUGGAUUUCCCCUCCUCUAGAGCAGUUGGUUCUGACUGAUGAUCUGUCUAGCUUCGGAGCAGAAAAUCCACAUGCUGAGGAAGCGGAGAUGGAGGAGCAGUCUUUGGAUUUUAGGAAUGGCCCUUUUGGGUCUGGAUCAAAGGCUUCCAGCCAAACAGCAUCAGGAAGCUUUGGCUGCUGCUGCUUCUGCAAUAGUUGUUUCCUGUGAUAGGGAGCAAGGCAUACACAAAGCAUCUGGUGCAUCCCAUCUGUGUGGGAGGGGAAGAAAGUUGCCCCAUGGCUGUCAGGCCAGUAUGCUUUGGCAUACAUGGAGGUGUAAAAAACUUGCUCUUGAAACUUCAGUAUUUUGGGUCUUGCUUAAUCUCUGUGUUCCAAAUUCAGCAGUAUCCUCAGUGAUUGCACUAUGAGUACUGGUAAAUAAAAAUUCUGUAACAGGGGAAACAUGAAAUUUCCAAUCAUUUUGCCAUUUUACAAAAGGGCAAUAAAAUGCUAGUAUCCCAUCUGAAAAAUAUUUAUUGAAUGUAAUGAGGAAGAAACCAGUGGGGAAAUUAAGUAGGGGUCUAUGGAAAUUAUCCUAUAUUCUGAGACAGGGUAAUACAAACUUCUUUACUGAACUUUCAAACCAUCCUGCAGAGUUUAACAGAGAACAGUUUUCUUUAGGUUAUGUUCUGACUUCUGUACUGUGUUCUCCAUUUAGUGGAGAACAUCAUUGUUCUCCAUUUAGUGUUUCUAUUUUUUUUGUUUUUGUUUACAAAGAGAUUGUCUAUAACAGCAUCAAAGCAAGCAGAUCAAGAAAAUAUGAUAUCAAGUGGCCUCUCUUCUCUUUUAAUUGUACUGCAAAAAUCUCCAGGUUCCUGGAACCAUGCUUAGCUCAUGUGGAAGCAGGUAUAAACAGUGAGUUCAAUGGAAACUAUAUGCAUUAUAGUACAAGUCGGUCAUCUUGCUUAUCAAAAAUAACUUUUGAAAUGUCUUAAUAUUGAAGCUUAUAUGGGACUAGGAUGUUUUGACUUUCUCAGUUUUACAUCACUUCUGAAGCAAUCAGUGGCAUCAGGUGACCACUGCUUGAUUCAGGACAGGAAUGCAAACCUGGUCUCCAAUAUCAAAAAAAAGUGUCUCAACGACUAUAAUAACAUGUAUGUUUACAGUUACGAUAAACCCCCUGAUAAGAUAUCUGGGAUCAGAUUAGAAAUACUUCAGCAACAUGAGAAAAAUAUCUCAAUUAUAAUGGGUCUAGUUUGUCUUGAGAAUAUUCUGGGGGUAACUUGAUCCUUAUGAUAGGUAUCUAGAGGCAUCUGAAUGAGGAGCUACGAGAUAUGGUUUAGUAGCUUGUGGUAGCAAUGGUAAUGGGAGGAUGGUUGGACUAGAUGACCUUGUAGGUCCUUUCCAACCUUGUGAUUCUAUGAUUUAAGGCUUGCCAACAGAGUUUGUGUUGGUCUCUGCCUGGAAUUACAUUCUCUCAAAGGAAAAUGCCGUAUUUGUUGGGCCACGCUAUCAGGGACCUUCUUGGUGAUCUUGAUGUGAAGCAGCUCAAACUUCACCACCACCACUGACAACAAUGUUGCCAUUCAGGCCAAAUCAAUGGCAUUAUGAUGGUUCUAUCCAAAACCGUUCUUUGAGAACAACAGAAAAACUAUUUUUUCUGGGUGUGGUCCACAGCAGCAUUGAUGGGAAACAAUCACUUUUUGAUGAAGAACACCUUAAAAGGUGCAAUGAUUGACAAAUCUAGCAAGUUGUCCUCCCCAAGACAGCGCAGUAUGGACCAAGCAGGAGUCUGGAGUACAACAAAGUUAAAGCACAAAUCCUGCAGGUGACCAGUAAGAAUGCCGAAAGUGAUAAAGGACCGUUUGAGGCAACAGCAAUGCCAGAAACUGGAUAUGUCUAAAAAUAAAAACAUUGUGCUGUUAUAAACAGGGUGUUUUACAGGACAGAAACGGCAUAUGCCCUUCAUCUAAAGACUGCUAUUUAUUUAUUUAUUUACCUUCAAGAGCUGCAACAGGCUUUGAGCAACAGAGGAGCAAGCGUCUGUUCAAGGAGGUUGAAAAGAAACCUUUGGAACAGAAAGAGCCUGGCUCCCGCAUGUUUCUUUGCCACCCUUUACAUGUGGAAAGGUCAGGAUCACAAGUCUCUGCAAGCUGACCCUGCGUAUUUCAGCUGCAAUCUUAUUUGGGAUUGUGAGGCUCUAUUGCUGGUUCCUAGGAGCACUGGCAAGUGAACAAGGUGUGCUUCUCACCGCACAGUCAUUUGUCACAACCCCAACAUGCUGUGGUUUGCAGGUGUAUGGUUUUGAGGAUGAAAUGGACUAGCAGUGCCUUCUACUACAGAGCCCAUGUUCCGUCUCUUGACACAGCAGUUCUUCGUGCUGCUUUUUUGGCUUGUGGUCCAUCCUAGUUCCCUUUACUCUAGGAAGCUUAUGUCCUCCUGUCUAUACUACUUCUAACUAUGCUAUGGGAAGCUCAAGAUAGCAAACACAGGCACUAUCAUUAAUUCCAAUCACUGUUUAUUAAAUUGAAAAAAAACCAAAAAAACAAAAGCAUGCAGAAAUGCAUACCAAAACAGACCUUCAUCUCAAUCCUCUACAACCUGUUGGAGGGGUUUUCAUCAAUCAAACACUGCAUCUCUGGCAAGACAUCAAGAGUGAUAAGUUUGAACUCCUGCUCAGCAAAGUGAAUCCACAUUCUUUACUUGCUAUGUUUCCUGAGAGAGCAGGCUUCCUGGAUGUUACACAGAAUCACUGACGUUGUGGCAUCGGACUCUACCUUUGCCCAUACCUUCAGCCUGCAUUAUCCAUAGUAAUGUCAAGGGGACUUUUACUAGCUUAGGUAAAUAAAUUCUUUCUCUUGACUUAGUUUGAUGUGGAUCAGUCUCUCUGUCCAGUACAAUGGUCAACAAUGCAGCCAGCCCCUGCUUGUCCUGCCUAACUGGACAGAGACACAAGUCUAUGGAAACUAUAUUUUCCAUUUUUAUUUCCAUCUUAUUUGGGGUCAUUCUCCCCCAUGCAACACUGAUAGGUGCUUGGGUGGCUGUGCAUCUUGCUAGGCAAACUACAGAUCCCCAUGGAUGUUUUACCAGUACCAGCUUUAAGAGGAGUAAGAGAUCAUCCUUGAUAAUGUCCUCCCUCACCAAGAAAGAACAACGUGAAGCUGAUCAUAGGUGCAUAUGUCUGUGUAAUGGCUUUAAAGAAAUGGGUAAAUCCCAUGAAAGUGAUGUUUACUACUGCUUCAUCCUACAUUAGCAGGUAGUAUAGGCUGAGCAUGGCUAUACAUGGCAUAAUCUCAGUGGUGGCUAUUGCCAGCAUCCCAGUAGCACAACCAGCCCUGAUUGCUCCUGCACAUCCCCUUGGGGCUCCCACAGAAAAAUAAUAAUAAUAAUAAUACAGGAGCUUAUCACAGUGCAGAGAUGGGAGUGGAGGAGAACAGAAGCAUGCAAGCAGCAGUAUUAUCCAGAGGGAUGCGCACCUCCCCAUGGGAAGCCCAAGGGCAGCUGAGCUGUGCACCUAGCCUAGCUGUGCAAAGGCUCACCAUCACUUCCCUGCCACGUGGCUGGCAAUGAGUGGUCCCAAGUGGUUUAUACUUAGAGAAUCCCCUCUUUGCAUUGGGAUGGUCUUGUUUUCAGUCCCAAAAUGCCCUGCAAAAUGAAUGAAUUGUUGUUUUCUAGCCAGCCUGAGUAGGAAACAUGGCUCACACAGUUGCUGGGAACUGGAAGAAACAUCCUGGUCUGCAGAGCAUAAAUUAGGAAAAUGCAUUCUUAUUCUCGUGGAUAUUCCUUGAGAAAAAGCCAACAGUGGGAGUGUGUUAGAGUGGUAAAAUGCAAUUCAUGACAACAGUCCCACUGAGAGGAGGAUUUUUUUUUUCCUUUAGUUGCUUCUAAUUGUGGUAAGGAGCAAACGCAUUCCUCUUUAAUUUCCAUUGGCAAGGUCUCCGGGACUGUGCGAGUGCCAAGAAGUGUGCUGUGGCUGGCUUUGCAUUUCCUCCUCUCUUCUUCCCCUCCUCCACCCCUCCCUCAUCUUAUGGGUAUUACAGCCAAUCCCUCUGCAAAUACCUUUUUCGCAGGCAAUGUAAGCACUCUCCCUCUUGUUUUUCUCCCUUCGAAACUCUGCUCUAUCUCUUUUGGCCAGCUGCAGCCUUCCUAGAGCAUCUUCUACCUGACAAAAGAAGAUACCUUUGAUAGUCAGACAUGAUGGUAAAGUUGAAACACAUGCUUGGUUCAGAUACCAAUGAACUUUAAUUUACCUCAAUUCAUUAGCAAUUUUUAAAACCACAGUUAAUGGAAGGCAGCCUGUAAAAUAAUUGGAAGUAAAUGAUGAAGGAGAAACUCUGGGGGGAGGAAGGAAGGGAAGCGGCUUACAGCAGGAGUCUAAGCCAGGCUUUCAUCUUCAGGGCAGUCCGGUUUUGAACCCUGAUGGGAAAGGUCAUGAAUUUUAAAAUGUGUCUCGCAGCAGACAGCUCUAAUCAUAAAGCUAACACUAUCUGCAGUGCAUGUCUGACCAUGUGAGACUCGCGGCUGACUGAAGGAGGCUGACUUUCAAGGGGAGGAUGCUGCUUUGAGCAGGAAGGUGUGGGAUAAGCAGAACCGAUGCCGUAUCUGUCAGUGCCAGAAUGAAGCACUGGGCUGCUGGGUCAGGGGAAAACAUGCCACUCUCAGCAGGGCUCGCAGCAGCAGCAGGACCACAUAGCACCUUGUGCUCUUCUCUGGGCUCCUUGAGAACCCAGCGUUUCCCCUUCUUGCAUGUCACUUAGGAAGUGUAACAUCUUACUGCUUUAGCUUGCCAUUCGCAUCUUCAGUUUUAAUACAGUUUCCAGCCUAUUGCAUGCAAAAGCUGGAAUGCUCUCUACUGCUAUCCUGGGAAUCGUUGCUCUGCCAUUUGCCAGGCUGUGUUUGAAAUCAAGGGAUGCUAAUGUUUUGGCAACACCUUACAGUGCCUCUGACAAAAGAGUUGUGGUUGGUGGCUAUCUCAGUCUUAAUUGUUUUCUUAAUUGGAUGCUGCUGAGGCUCAGACAGUUAUUUGUAGGAUGUGAGAAAACACUUGAUUCUCUCUCUGACUUCAUCUGCAUUUUCCAAAAUCCUUCCACUGUUCAUCUACCACAUCUUGGGCUCUGCUCUUCCUAGCAUGUAUGGAAGCGUAGUCCAGUGGUGUUAAUCACCACGUGGUGUCUAGACAUGCUGAAAACACUUAGGCAACUGUGACAUCUGUUUGGGCAGCCAAUAUUGUUGGGAAACUUGACCCUAUUUAUGAACAGUUUUUAAAACCAAGUUUCGGUCAUGACAAGAUAAUAAAUGCAAAGUGUCUUUACAUACUGUGAUCAGAGCUUCAUGGUCAACGUGCUCUCACAGGAGGGGUGGUCUUGCUCUGAAAGGGUAACACUCGGGGCAUAUGUGUUCAAUUUUUAGGUCUGGCACAAACUUCAUGUCUGACCUUCGCAAAGGUGUGUGCUUUCUUUGUGUCUGGAAUAAAUGGUGGUGGUAAUACCUGGGAUCAGACUGAUUAUGGGACUCUUCAGAUUGCGCCAGCUAAUUUGAUUGUUACCAAAAUAAAGUCCCCGUGAUCUCACCAGAAUUCAAUGCCCCAUUUUCUAGAUCUAGCAGUCUGUGAACAAGAGCUGGAGCCAGGCUGGAAUGUCUUUUGGUUCUGCAGCAACAGAAAACUCCAAGUCAGGGAUUAUUUUUAGUGUGCAACUGCUAGGUUUUUCAGUGUAUGAUGCAGAGCAGAAUUUUCAAGAGCAUCUGAUCCUUUGCUGUUAAUUGUUUACUUUGCUCCUGAAUAUGAGAUCUGAGGCUCUGAUGGAGGAUCUCUGGUAAAUUUAACUGUUAACUGUUAACGUUAUCUCCUCCAGCACCUCUGCCAAAAAUUACUGCCUACUAGCAGGGGUGCAGAGCAAAAAGGUACAGAGAGGAGCAGCAAACCUGGUGGAGACGGUGCCAUGCUCUUUUCUAUUACCCAUCCUCCAAUGGUUUGUUUCACCAUGGAAAAAACCUAGGGAUUCACUCAGGUGUGAGCUUCUCCCAUGCUGUGUCUGGCAAGCAGUUAGUGACUUGAGAAUGAUGGUUCUUUGCUUGAUAUGCAGACUUCCCCACAGCUCACUGUAAAAGAGAGCUGAGGGACAGCAGGAUCCACUAGAGGUGAUAUGGGAAGCCCUAGCUAUGCAGCGCCAGGAAAAUGUCAACAACCAGGUACCAGGGGCCCCUAAGUGGGGCUAACCCCGUGCCCCCAGGCAAGGCUCAGUUUACAUUCACAUCUCCCCUUGGUGACACGCCAGUGCGUUUCCAAGGAACACACAGCUCUGAAGGGGCUGCUGCCAGAGUAAGCUUCUCCACUCAUCUCACAUCUGACUUGUAAUUUCAGUGGCCGUGUUUUUUAUGGUGGGGUCUCCAGCAGUACAAAAGUAUUACAAGGUAUUUAUUUGCCAAGCCUUUUCUGCUGUGUUUCAGCCUCUCCUCUCCCCCUUCCCUGUCUUAUCGCUGGUGGAAGCGGGUGUAAAGUCCUUUGAACGAAGACAUCAAAGGACAAUUGCAUCUCUGUUCUUUAACCAGACUUAUAAAGAGAUUGUGAUAAAGGACAACAAUACAUGUCAGUGUUGCCCAGUUAUUGUUCUGUGCUUUGUAGUUUUAUUAGGAAAUAAUUUCUCACCCUGUGUGGCUCCUGGUGAGUUUUGUUUCUGUGUUGCUGGAUUUGAUCUGCCCACUGAAAGGCCUGCCACAGAACUGAGAGUUUUGCCAGCUGUGAGUUAAGAGGGAGACAUUAUUGAAAAAGUUCAAGCUCUGCUUCCUAGCAGCCAAUUUACCAUCUGUCUCCCUCUCCCUCACACCCCUUUUAUAGCAAAAAUGCAAACAAUUUGUUUGACCUCUGCUGAAUCUGUAGAACUCUGGGCUUUUAAAGUGUUGAUUUAACAAAUAAAAACUGAACGUGACAGCAGCAACAACCUCAAAUUCAAAGCCAAUAAACCCAGGUAACAGCAAGGCUUGUUACAAGAGACAGUAAAAGCCUAUGAAAGGCUUUCUUCUUUAUAAAUAUAUCCCUCCUCCUCCCCGUACCCCACCUUUUGGAAAAUCUACAAAUGAAGUUGAAUCUUGACCACUACAGUGUGUGGCUGAAAAUUCGCCCCUCCUCCAGGAUAACAGAGGGAGUAAAGCCCUCGAAAGUCAAGUUAGACCACUGUGGAAAGACUGUUCUGAGCCUGCCUGGCUUGGGUUUGCAUCCGUGGCUUCAGACAGAGUUGAUUAUCCAUAUGAGGACGAAGGGAGUUGUGGACAGGUAAUUCCUAGCACUCCCCCACCUCCAAUCUCCUGGCAUCAUGCCCCAGCUCUGAUCUUGCACAGCUCUAGUGCUCAUGAGACACCCUUACAAACUGGUUCAGUUCAGUGACCCACCUCUCAGCUGGGUUAGUGAGCUGAGCCUGCUCACAGAGGGCUCUGGUGGGCACCGGAGCUGGUGCAGUGAGAGGGCAGAGGGAGAAGUGGGAUCUCUCCUGGUGAUGCUGAGCCUCUAGCCUGGCUCGGCUGUGUGAGGAACGGCAGCUGACUGUCACAUUAUGAAAUUGUUGCACAAAUGGUGUGAUUGCCAGCGUAUGAUAAUAGUGCUGUCUGUCUCAUAAAGAGACUUUUUCAGAAGCAUUGUUGAUGCUGGUAUAAAUUGGCACGGCUUCAAUCAGUGUGUCAUUUGUCUGGUAGACUAUGAAAUGCUCUUGCAAAACCAGCCUGUGUUUCAAGACUUUGUCUCAAUCGUAUUGACCCUAAUGAAAAUCCAAGCUACUAAAUGACUCAUUCCUGUUGUCCUUCACCCUGAAAUAGGUACUCAUACCCACAAUCCACAUCACUGAAAAUCUGUUAGAAAAAAAUCACACUUCAGGAUUGCAUGCUUCAAACAAAUCCUAUGAAGUCCCCAUUCCAGCCUGCUGAAGCAGCCCUUGCUUCUCAAACAAAUUUCUUUAGGAAGAGAUGAGAGCUGGUGAGAAAAUCACCUCCGUGCUCCUGUGUUUUAGUGAGGAUGGAAAAGGGCAGCAUGACAUUCUUGCACAAAGCAUUUUCUCUUUCAGUGUAUCUUAAGUAGAUUGGAAUAAGAAAAGAAAGCCUUUUCUUGGGUUACUGAAGCUACAAAGCUGUCAUAUAAUUGGGGACCAUCUUGGACAAAUAAUGGGGUGGCAGAGUGUUGGGGGAGGAAGGGAGAAGAAAAGGGUUUAGUGUGAAAAUGAAUCUCACAAACGAAGAUGGACUUAACCUGUUAAGUAGCCUUGAAACCUGAGCUGAGAUGCUAAUCCUCUCAGGACAAAGCUGAAUCCUGCUUUUGGGGGUGUGAGGGUGACCUUAUACCUGCUUUGAGAAUGUGGAAAAACCCUUUCUAAAAGCCGGGAAUGGAGGCUUUCUAUUGUCUAGGAAGUAUCUUGUUUAUCACAGAAUGGUAUUCUUUCCCAUCUUGAUGUUCUUUGGUAUUUGAGUUUUGAAUGAAGUGUAAAUACUGUCAGUAAAAAAGAAUUAGGAGAGAAACAAAACAAAAGAAAAUUGGAGCAAGAGAUGCUGUAAACAAAGAGGAGAACAAACAUUUUUGCUAUGUAAGGCUGCCACAUUGCUGAGUGGCUGCCUGAGAUGUAAGGAGGAAAUUCUUUCACUCUGGUUAGGGGAGGGCAACAGAUAGACCUGUGUUUGAGGAUAUAGUGAGGAUGAAGCAACCCAAAAUCUUAAAAAAUAUUUUCUUCAUAGUGGCGGGAAAGGCUGUAACAGUUGAAGACUUCUGAGAUCAGGUACCACCAGAGAGAGACACCGAGGUAUCAGUGUAACCACUCGGAGGUACAGAGCAUGCAAGUUGGUUGAUAAGGAGAAGAAUGGAUGGUGAAGAAGCCAGUGGACUGGACGAGCUUGAUGUCUAGGUUUAUGUGAAUUUUGAAUCUUUUUUGAUCACGCACUUUCUGCUUGAAACAUAAGCUCAGGCUCAGUGUUCUCUACCUGACAGUAAUAGGUCUAAAAAGUUCCCACUAUCCUGCUCCACCUUUUACUGUACCGGCGCCAAGGCCUGCCCAGCUACAGAAAUCUUUAGGAUUAGCCUGUGUAUUAUUUUCAUGGAUUAUAUUUCUUUCUUUCUUCUGAUGUUACACUGCAAGCAUUGUUUUUUCUAGCAAUGGCAGGGAGGCAUCUGAAGGGAUGUGUGUGUGGUACUGCCAGUCAGCCAGGCUUGCUCCUGGGCUUCAGAGCAGCUGUGUGGGACAGAGAGCAGUGCUGGCCAGGCAAUCCAGCUCAUGAAUUCUCUGCCAGCCUCCUGCGUGGUAUCCGUAGUCCAGGUCAAGUUCCAGGAAGGUUGCUAGAACCUCUGUGUAAAUAUUAAGGCAAGCCAAAGGGACAACGUGAAAUAUCACUGCUCUCAUCUGAUAGGAGCUGAUACUUGGUGCUCAGGCAACUUCCCCAAGAUAGGGAGCUGGACAUACAGCUGCAGCAGAAGUCUCAGCUGACUUCAGUCUCAGUCUGACUUACAGUCUCCAUUUAUCUCCCACUGUCUGUAUUUUGUUAUACAAACUAAAUGUGUUGAAAAGCCACAUCAGCAAUUUAAUCAAGAGUGUUGCAUGAGAUCUCACCCUAUACUUCCAAGUCACAAGCAGGCGUCCCUUGCAUUUUCAUUUUUAUGACACCAAGUUGGGAGGUAGUGUUGAUCUGCCUGAGGGUAGGGAGGCCCUUCAGAGGGAUCUGGGUAGGUUAGGUUGCUGGGCUGAGGUGAAUGUGAUGAGGUUCAGCAAGGCCAAGUGCCAGGUCCUGCACUUUUGCUACAAUAACUCCAUGCAGUGCUAUAGGCUUGGGGCAGAGUGGCUACAUGGCUGUGAAGAGGAAAGGGACCAGGGUCAGUGCUCAGCUGGAUAUGAGCUGACAGUGUGCCCAGGUGGCCAAGAGGGCCAAUGCCAUCCUGGCCUGCAUUAGAAAUAGUGUAGCCAGCAGGAGCAGGGAUGUAAUCAUCCCCUUGUACUAAGCACUGGUGAGGCCUACUACAAGAAAGACAUUGAGGCCCUGGGACAUGUCCAGAGAAGGGCAACGAAACUGGUGAAGGGUCUGGAGCACAAAUUUUAUGAGGAGCGGCUGAGAGAGCUGGAAUUGUUUAGUCUGGAGGAGGCUCAAGGGAGACCACAAUGCACUCUGCAAGUUCCUGAAGGGAGGUUGUGACGAGGAGGAGGUCAGCCUCUUCUCCCAGGCAACAAACAGGACCCAAGGAAGUGGCUAUGAGUUGUGCCAGGGGAGAUUUAGAUUAGACACAAGGAAAAACUUUUUCUCAGAGUGGUCAGGCACUGGAAUGGCGUGCUCAGGGAGGUGGUGGAGUCACCGUCCCUGGUGGUGUUCAGGAGGUGUCUGGAUGAGGUGCUACACGGUAUGGUUUAGUAGCUUGUGGUAGCAAUGGUGAUAGCAGAAUGGUUGGACUGGAUCUUGUAGGUCUGUUCCAACCUUGUGAUUCUAUGAUUUUGUGGUUCUAUGAUUCAUUCUUCUUUACAUUAAACACUAGCAACAAACCCAAGACCUGGAUUCUCUUCAUCAUUGGUGAUUGGGCUGAGGAAUAAUUUAACAGGGGACCUUACUUUCUGUGAGGUUGCUGUUAUGUUUUGUUAUGUUUUUUUUUUUCCUCUUAUACUUACUUCACAAGCUUUAGUUUCAGUUGCUGCUUAGCUCUCGAUGGUAUUUUCCUAUCACAGAGCUGUUGCUUCAUUCCAGGUUUUCAACAACUGAAAUAUAUCAUGGGAUUUUGUUGUAAUGCAGGAAAUUGCCUUCACAUUAACAGUUUGCCACUUCUAUAAACAAGAAACCCACUGAUGUGACACGUCAGCACUCAACAGGAGAACUCCUGACUACCUUAGUAAACAGGUGCAUUCCUCAUGGAAAACACAGGUUUGGGGCAUGCCCACAUAAUGACACAAUUGGCACUGCAUGAAUAGAGGGCAGGGGCUAGGGUUGUGUUCAGCAUGGUUCGAAGCAGAGGAUAUGCAGUGGACUCCCUCCAAGACUGCUUUGUGGUAGUAAAGUGCAUUUAAAGUUCCCCAAGGUCACAGGGUCUCAUGUGGGAUUUUUUUUUUUUUCUCUCACUUUAAUAACGUAUUAAUAGCUGCAUGUGUGUUGUAGAUGAUAAUAUAGUUUUUCUAGCUAAACCCACUUGCCCCUCACGUAGACUGCUUAUUCUCUGCUGCUAGCAGGGCUGCUUUGAUUACGCAAUGACAGCUGCAUGGAUAUAUGGACUGUGGCGAUGGGCUGGCAGCCACUUCAUUGUCAAUCCCCCUUUGUUCUCCUAGAAAAGAAAAGGCACAAUAGGGAAGGUUUCAUCCACAUGUCAGACACAUGAGGGACAAAAGGAUGAUGGGAACUGACUGAACUACACCAUCCAAGUCACGCUGAAAUACACAGUCUUUCAGCUUUGUUUAGUGAUGGUGUGGUGGCCAGCGAUUGCACUGGUUGCAAUUAGCCAAGGAACAAUUAAGUCAUGGGUAAGGUCUCUUUGCUACCUUGCAUAGGCAAGGAGCAACAAAUCCAUUUCUCUGGGAGCAAUUGCUCUGAGAUUAACUGGAAGUGUUAAUCAGCUAACCCCUCUGAAGGAAAUGGUGGGUCACACCUGCCAGAGUAUAGGGAAUGUCAUGAAACUCAGUAUUUCUAUUAAGUCUGCACUUUUAAAUAUUUGGUAGAUAUAUAAGCAUUGUUCCAGGGUCUUUGUUUUAGACGUGCUACACUUUGAAUAGUGCACAGUAUUUCUUAUGGGCUUUCACUUGUCACAGCCAAAUAUGGGUCAUUUCAAGGCAACCCCCUUCAGACCAUCUCCCCAUCCCGGCUUACACAAGGCUUUCCUAGGAUGCUUCUGUCUAAAAUAACAAUCUAAGGUCACCAUAGAUAAGGGGAAAAGGCACAAAGGGAUAUAUCUGGCUUGGAUUUGUCAGUGUUCUCAUUUUUACUGCACUAUCUCUGUGCACCUGCAAACUCACAGGAAAUAUGAAUAUUAAAUCUAUGGAAAACAAAAUAGAAAAAAAAUCAGAAUAUAAAAAAUAAUCAGAAAGUGCUGAUUCCUCAAGUGGAAAUUUUUGUGUGGAAGAAGCAAUAGAUAUUGGUUUUGGUUGUUUUUUUUUCAAGAAAGAAAAGAAUGGUUAUGGUUGUCAGGCUGGUGCGAUGUGUGGUUUUUGCAAUUGAGUGUGCAGCUUUUCACAGUUAGGAUUUUUUUUUUUCUGUAUGAAUCAAACAGAAUUCAAAAUGUAAAGAUUUUGAGUGUUAUCCUAAUUUAGACAGGAAAACAUUUUGACAGUGUGUCAUGGUUUUAUGAUUUUUGGUUAUCACUAUUCCACAUCAUAACAUCAUGCAGUGUACUGGUAGUCAAAGAGCAAAUGCUCUAGUUAUGGGUACUUGUCCAGAAGAGAAGAAGAACUACGUUCCCCAGAAGACUGUUCGAGUACUGUUAUCAUUCCUGUUCUGGGGAACAGAUAUAAGACCUGUAGGUCACCUGACCUGGGUCUUCUCUUCUUCUCAUCUCAUUGUGCUCUCUUUUGGAUCGUCUCGCUGCUGCUCCCGACUGCACACAAGGCUUCAGUAUUAGUGUAAGGCCUUUAGCUCUCGGACAAUCCUUCUCUCAAUUAUAUUUGAUUUUAUUAGCAAUUAUAUUAAAUUAUAUUGUAUUACAGUGUGUUAUCAUGCAUUCUGAUACUAUAUUUAGUAAAUUAGUUUGUUUCUCCUCAGAUCGUCGCCGCUGUUUUUUUUUAAUUAUUCUUUCUUGUGGGGGAUCCCCUGUUUCCCUUUUCCGGAGGAGUGGAUUUUGCAAAAAAAAACCCUCCACCCCACUAGUCGUGGCCGGGCCGGACCAGCCCGUAAGCCGUCGACACAGUGUAAAAAAAAUCUCACAGGAUGGUGAAACUGUUUCCU
ensembl:lncRNA